GUUUUCCUCUGCCUAGCAGAGGAAAGUGCAGCAAGCUCACUUCAAGGACAGUUAUAAGAUAAUACUGUUUGAGAAGCCAAGGCCAAAGGAAUGGACCCCAGACACCCCCCAGCUCCAGAGCAAGGUUGAAGGAAAAAAAAAGAAAGACAAAUUCUUUUACUGUUACUCCUUUCCCAGGCUUCUUAAGCAUGAUUAUGUUUUACAAAUGUCUGUAUUUAGCCACUUGUUGUUUUUCUUUCAAUGCAGCUACAAGGCCACCAGCUAUGCAAGGCCACAAGUUAUGCUAUGCUAUAGAUUAUGUGACCUAUCAUAUUUGAUAAACGUUUGGGUUUAUUUAUUGUAAGUCUGCUUAUAAAAACCUGUCUCUGUCUUUGUUUAAUGCUCAGCUUUUUGGAUGUGAGUCCACUGAGCUGGCGUGUACCUACAAUGAACAAUCCUUCUGUACUCUCAUAUCAGUCUCUCUGGUCCUCAGUUUCCUGCAACAUUUUUGGUGACCACAAAAGGACCAGAGACAGCAGGUUUACUGUUUCCUUUGGCUCUGGGCGCUGGAGCCCUGGGCCUCAGGAGACCUGUGACCCCAGGUACCACUGGAAGAACUUCAGCCCGGAGAGGAAAUCAGCUCUCCCCUGACCCGGCGCCCCUACCCAGCAGUGCAAUGGAACCUGAAAGGAGCUACAGGACAAUUUCAGAAACAGCACCCUUCAGGAACUGCGUUGCAGCUGUUGUGUCUUGGAUCCACCACAGUUGGCUGAAACCGGCAGCUCAGGACAAGUGAACCAGCCAGCAGGACCCAGACCAUUUGACUCGGCUGAUCUUGUGACAAGACUGAGUUGCUGCUGAGUACAACAGCCCUGCUCUGGUCACUCCAGAGGCUGACCAGUCUACACACGGGUGAAGCUUGAGGAAACAACAAGCUCUGCUCUAGUCACACACCAGAAGCUGACUAGUCUAUGCACAGCUGAAGCUUGAGGACUUGUCAAGCAAGUAAAUGUAGUUAGAAAUCUUAGGACUAGUAGUUUUCCUGUAAUACUGUUUUACUAUUGUUCCGUCGCUGUGCUCAAUCUUCUUCCCCAGGUAAGGACCUCUUUUGUCCUUGCUGGAUAUGAAUAUGCUGUACAUUGCUUUGCUGUUGUUACCCCCCUUAACCAUGCUAGAAGAAUCACCCACAGAAGGGUGUCUCCACCGUACACAUACUACUUGGUCAGGGAACAGCAUAACUAAAACUCUAUUGUACCAUACUUAUUAUGGGUGUAUGGGGAAUCGCUUAGGAACUUGUACUUAUAGUCAAACCACCUACUCAGUUUGUGACCCAGGAAAUAACCAACUUUAUGUAUGUUAUGACCCCAAGUUUUCACCUGGUGAAUGGUUUGAAAUUCGUGCAGUCAAAAGAAGGUCUCCUCUUAAACCAAACCAGGGUCCCUCCCUUUUACUGAGGGACUAUUUCUCUGUAUUUUGAUGCUCGUUAGGUAGCAUACCAAGACUCACCCAUCUGUGGUAACCUACCUUUGGAAAGAUACUAUAGAAAUAACUACAAAUAUGUAUGCACGCCAAGAGCAACUCCACAUUGUUCCCCUGGGACCCCAGAGAAAGAUUGUUGGUAUUGCAUAUCAUGGCACCCUAGCCACAACAAAGGUCAAUUAUGCUUACCAAAAUGCUGGUGGACUGCAGGUUCCUCCUUACAUGUCUACAUACACACAUACCCAGCAACCUUCAUAUAUGUUAUCAAAAAGGGAACCCAGACCCGUCUGGCCCAGCAAGGCACAAAAAUGAGGAACGCUAUCUAUCAGAACAGAUUAGCUUUAGACUAUCUCCUAGCCCUAGAAGGAGUAGUAUGUGGAAAGUUCAAUUUAACAAAUUGCUGCCUGGAAAUCGAUGACAAUGGAAAGGCAAUUAUGGAAAUAACUGCAAGAAUGAGAAAAUUAGCCCAUGUUCCAGUUCAAACUUGGAAAGGGUGGUCUCCAGAUUCUCUCUUUGGAGGCUUGGUUUUUAUUUUUCUGAGGGUUCAAGACUUUAAUAGGAGUGGUUCUGGCCAUAUUAGGAAGUUGCCUAAUACUCCCUUGUCUCUUACCUCUCCUUGUUAGAAGCAUUCAAUCGAGUAUAGAGGCAAUAGUAGCUAGGCAAACUACCACUCAGCUAAUGGCUCUGCAUAAAUAUCAACCUUUGUCUAAAUAAGAAAACUCGUCCCUUCAGGCAGAACUAAGUAAUAGUGAUGCCUUCUAUUAAACUUCUUUUAUAAAAGGCAUCAAAGGGGGGAAACUGAGGCAGAAAUUUAAAAAUAAAUAUGCAUUCAUUCACUCCAAGAAAAGUAACAGAAAAGGCAAGGGUUAAAAAGAAAAGAACAAGUUUUCCUCUGCCUAGCAGAGGAAAGUGCAGCAAGCUCACUUCAAGGACAGUAAUAAGAUAAUACUGUUUGAGAAACCAAGGCCAAAGGAAUGGACUCCAGAUACCCCCCAACACCAGAGCAAGGUUGAAGGAAAAAAAAGAAAGACAAAUUCUUUUACUGUUACUCCUUUCCCAGUCUUCUUAAGCAUGAUUAUGUUUUACAAAUGUCUGUAUUUAGCCGGUUGUUGUUUUUCUUUCAAUGCAGCUACAAGGCCACCACCUAUGCAAGGCCACAAGUUAUGCUAUGCUAUAGAUUAUAUGACCUAUCAUUUGGUUAACUGCUUUUGUUUUAUUUAUUGUAAGUCCACUUAUAAAAACCCGAUUCUGUCUUUGUUUAAUGCUCAGCUUUGUGGAUGUGAGUCCGCUGAGCCAGUGUGUACCUAAAAUAAACAAUCCUCCUAUACUCUCA
rnacentral:lncRNA from 1 species